rnacentral:rRNA from 1 species
UUCCGGUUGAUCCCGCCAGACCUGACUGCUAUCGGAUUGAUACUAAGCCAUGCGAGUCAUUGUAGUAAUACAAGGCAUACGGCUCAGUAACGCGUAGUCAACCUAACCUAUGGACGGGAAUAACCUCGGGAAACUGAGUAUAAUGCCCGAUAGAACAUUAUGCCUGGAAUGGUUUAUGUUCCAAAUGAUUUAUCGCCGUAGGAUGGGACUGCGGCCUAUCAGUUUGUUGGUGAGGUAAUGGCCCACCAAGACUAUUACAGGUACGGGCUCUGAGAGGAGUAGCCCGGAGAUGGGUACUGAGACACGGACCCAGGCCCUAUGGGGCGCAGCAGGCGAGAAAACUUUGCAAUGUGCGAAAGCACGACAAGGUUAAUCCGAGUGGUUUCUGCUAAAGGAACCUUUUGUUAGUCCUAGAAACACUAACGAAUAAGGGGUGGGCAAGUUCUGGUGUCAGCCGCCGCGGUAAAACCAGCACCUCAAGUGGUCAGGAUGAUUAUUGGGCCUAAAGCAUCCGUAGCCGGCUCUGUAAGUUUUCGGUUAAAUCUGUACGCUCAACGUACAGGCUGCCGGGAAUACUGCAGAGCUAGGGAGUGGGAGAGGUAGACGGUACUCGGGAGGAAGGGGUAAAAUCCUUUGAUCUCUCGAUGACCACCUGUGGCGAAGGCGGUCUACCAGAACACGUCCGACGGUGAGGGAUGAAAGCUGGGGGAGCAAACCGGAUUAGAUACCCGGGUAGUCCCAGCUGUAAACUAUGCAAACUCAGUGAUGCAUUGACUUGUGGUCAAUGCAGUGCUGCAGGGAAGCCGUUAAGUUUGCCGCCUGGGAAGUACGUACGCAAGUAUGAAACUUAAAGGAAUUGGCGGGGGAGCACCACAAGGGGUGAAGCCUGCGGUUCAAUUGG